rnacentral:rRNA from 1 species
UACGAAGGGGGCUAGCGUUGUUCGGAAUCACUGGGCGCAAAGCGCUCGUAGGCGGAUCUUUAAGUCAGAGGUGAAAUCCCAAGGCUCAACCUUGGAACUGCCUUUGAUACUGGGGAUCUCGAGUCCGGGAGAGGUGAGUGGAACUGCGAGUGUAGAGGUGAAAUUCGUAGAUAUUCGCAAGAACACCAGUGGCGAAGGCGGCUCACUGGCCCGGUACUGACGCUGAGGUGCGAAAGCGUGGGGAGCAAACAGG